rnacentral:rRNA from 1 species
AUUGAACGCUGGCGGCAUGCCUUACACAUGCAAGUCGAACGGUAACAGGCCGCAAGGUGCUGACGAGUGGCGAACGGAUGAGUAAUGUAUCGGAACGUGCCCAGUCGUGGGGGAUAACUGCUCGAAAGAGCAGCUAAUACCGCAUACGACCUGAGGGUGAAAGCGGGGGAUCGCAAGACCUCGCGCGAUUGGAGCGGCCGAUAUCAGAUUAGGUAGUCGGUGGGGUAAAGGCCCACCAAGCCAACGAUCUGUAGCUGGUCUGAGAGGACGACCAGCCACACUGGGACUGAGACACGGCCCAGACUCCUACGGGAGGCAGCAGUGGGGAAUUUUGGACAAUGGACGCAAGUCUGAUCCAGCCAUGCCGCGUGCGGGAAGAAGGCCUCGG